UACGUAGGGAGCAAGCGUUGUCCGGAAUCAUUGGGCGUAAAGCGCGCGUAGGUGGCCCCGUAAGUCCGCUGUGAAAGUCAAAGGCUCAACCUUUGAAAGCCGGUGGAUACUGUGGGACUAGAGUACGGAAGAGGCGAGUGGAAUUCCCGGUGUAGCGGUGAAAUGCGUAGAGAUCGGGAGGAACAUCAGUGGCGAAGGCGGCCAUCUGGAUCAACACUGACGCUGAAGCACGAAAGCGUGGGGAGCAAACAGG
rnacentral:rRNA from 1 species